rnacentral:rRNA from 1 species
GGCGAGUGAAGCGGCAACAGCUCAAAUUUGAAAUCUGGCUCCCUUCGGGGGCCCGAGUUGUAAUUUGGAGAGGAUGCUUUGGGCGCGGCGCCUUCCGAGUUCCUUGGAACAGGACGCCAGAGAGGGUGAGAGCCCCGUACGGUUGGACGCCUAGCCCGUGCAAAGCUCCUUCGACGAGUCGAGUAGUUUGGGAAUGCUGCUCAAAAUGGGAGGUAAAUUUCUUCUAAAGCUAAAUACUGGCCAGAGACCGAUAGCGCACAAGUAGAGUGAUCGAAAGAUGAAAAGCACUUUGAAAAGAGGGUUAAACAGCACGUGAAAUUGUUGAAAGGGAAGCGCCUGUGGCCAGACUUGCUGCCCGCGGUUCACCUGGCGCCCCCGCGCCGGGGCACGCCGCGGGUGCGCAGGCCAGCAUCGGCUUCCCCAGGGGGACAAAGGCCGCGGGAACGUAGCUCCUCCGGGAGUGUUAUAGCCCGCGGUGCCAUGCCUCUGGGGGGGCCGAGGAACGCGCCCUUCGGGGCAAGGAUGCUGGCGUAAUGGCCACCAGCGACCCGUCUUGAAACACGGACCAAGGAGUCAAGCAUUGGGGCGAGUGUUUGGGUGUCAAACCCGCACGCGAAAUGAAAGUGAACGCAGGUGGGAGCCCCUCGCGGGCGCACCACCGACCGAUCCUGAUGUCCUCGGAUGGAUUUGAGUAGGAGCCUUACCGCU